rnacentral:rRNA from 1 species
GGGUCAGUAGGUUGGUCGUGCCACCGGUACGUACGUGUCUCACUGAUUCCUCCUUCCUGAAGAACCGUAAUGCCAUUAAUUUGGUGUUGCGGGGAAACAGGACUGUUACUUUGAAAAAAUUAGAGUGUUUAAAGCAAGCUAACGCUUGAAUACAUUAGCAUGGAAUAAUGAAAUAGGACGAUCGAUCCUAUUUUGUUGGUUUCUAGGAUUGACGUA